GACGAACGCUGGCGGCGUGCUUAACACAUGCAAGUCGAACGGAAAGGCCCUGCUUUUGUGGGGUGCUUGAGUGGCGAACGGGUGAGUAACACGUGAGUAACCUGCCCUUGACUUUGGGAUAACUUCAGGAAACUGGGGCUAAUACCGGAUAGGAGCUCCUGCUGCAUGGUGGGGGUUGGAAAGUUUCGGCGGUUGGGGAUGGACUCGCGGCUUAUCAGCUUGUUGGUGGGGUAGUGGCUUACCAAGGCCUUGACGGGUAGCCGGCCUGAGAGGGUGACCGGCAACAUUGGAACUAGGAUCCGGCCCAGACUCCUACGGAGGGCAGCAGGGGGAAUUAUUGAACAAUGGGCGGAGGCCUGAUGCAGCACCGCGCGUGCGGGAUGACGGCCUUCGGGUUGUAAACCGCUUUCGCCUGUGACGAAGCGUGAGUGACGGUAAUGGGUAAAGAAGCACCGGCUAACUACGUG
rnacentral:rRNA from 1 species